AACGAACGCUGGCGGCAUGCCUAACACAUGCAAGUCGAACGAGAUCUUCGGGUCUAGUGGCGCACGGGUGCGUAACGCGUGGGAAUCUGCCCUUUGGUUCGGAAUAACAGUUGGAAACGACUGCUAAUACCGGAUGAUGACGAAAGUCCAAAGAUUUAUCGCCAGAGGAUGAGCCCGUGUAGGAUUAGCUAGUUGGUGUGGUAAAGGCGCACCAAGACGACGAUCCUUAGCUGGUCUGAGAGGAUGAUCAGCCACACUGGGACUGAGACACGGCCCAGACUCCUACGGGAGGCAGCAGUGGGGAAUAUUGGACAAUGGGCGAAAGCCUGAUCCAGCAAUGCCGCGUGAGUGAUGAAGGCCUUAGGGUUGUAAAGCUCUUUUACCCGGGAUGAUAAUGACAGUACCGGGAGAAUAAGCUCCGGCUAACUCCGUGCCAGCCGCCGCAGUAA
rnacentral:rRNA from 1 species